rnacentral:siRNA from 1 species
AUAAAGGCUCAACAAGCAACAACC